AACCUAUCGAAAGAUGGACUAAUACCGCAUACGACCUAUGGGUGAAGGCGGAGGACCGCAAGGCUUCGCACUAUAGGAGCGGCCGAUAUCGGAUUAGCUAGUUGGUGGGGUAAAAGCCUACCAAGGCGACGAUCCGUAGCUGGUCUGAGAGGACGAUCAGCCACACUGGAACUGAGACACGGUCCAGACUCCUACGGGAGGCAGCAGUGGGGAAUUUUGGACAAUGGGGGCAACCCUGAUCCAGCCAUGCCGCGUGAGUGAAGAAGGCCUUCGGGUUGUAAAGCUCUUUCGGCGGGGACGAAACGGUUCGUGCUAAUACCACGGACUAAUGACGGUACCCGCAUAAGAAGCACCGGCUAACUACGUGCCAGCAGCCGCGGUAAUACGUAGGGUGCAGGCGUUAAUCGGAAUUACUGGGCGUAAAGCGUGCGCAGGCGGUUUGUUAA
rnacentral:rRNA from 1 species